rnacentral:rRNA from 1 species
UACGUAGGGUGCGAGCGUUGUCCGGAAUUAUUGGGCGUAAAGAGCUCGUAGGCGGUGUGUCGCGUCGGUCGUGAAAACUUGGGGCUUAACCCUGAGCUUGCGGUCGAUACGGGCAUCACUGGAGUUCGGCAGGGGAGACUGGAAUUCCUGGUGUAGCGGUGAAAUGCGCAGAUAUCAGGAGGAACACCCGUAGCGAAGGCGGCGCUCUGGGCCGGUACUGACGCUGAGGAGCGAAAGCGUGGGGAGCAAACAGG